AGCAGUCGCCGCGGUAAUACGAAGGGGGCUAGCGUUGUUCGGAAUUACUGGGCGUAAAGCGCACGUAGGCGGAUAUUUAAGUCAGGGGUGAAAUCCCGCAGCUCAACUGCGGAACUGCCUUUGAUACUGGGUAUCUUGAGUAUGGAAGAGGUUAGUGGAAUUGCGAGUGUAGAGGUGAAAUUCGUAGAUAUUCGGAAGAACACCAGUGGCGAAGGCGGCUCACUGGCUCAUUCUAGACGCUGAGGUGCGAAAGCGUGGGGAGCAAACAGGAUUAGAGACCCCCGUAGUCCCUGUCUCUUAUAC
rnacentral:rRNA from 1 species